AUUGAACGCUGGCGGCAGGCCUAACACAUGCAAGUCGAGCGGAGCGGCGGACGGGUGAGUCAUGCCUAGGAAUCUGCCUGGUAGUGGGGGAUCACGUACGGAAACGGGCGCUAAUACCGCAUACUAUCAGAUGAGCCUAGGUCGGAUUAGCUAGUUGGUGGGGUAAAGGCUCACCUAGGCGACGAUCCCUAGCUGGUCUGAGAGGAUGACCAGCCACACUGGAACUGAGACACGGUCCAGACUCCGACGGGAGGCAGCAGUGGGGAAUAUUGCACAAUGGGCGCAAGCCUGAUGCAGCCAUGCCGCGUGUAUGAAGAAGGCCUUCGGGUUGUAAAGUACUUUAAGUUGGGAGGCGUUACCAACAGAAUAAGCACCGGCUAACUUCGUGCCAGCAGCCGCGGUAAUUC
rnacentral:rRNA from 1 species